GGAUGUGAGGGUGAUCUGGCUGUGACAUCUGUCACCCCAUUGAUCGCCAGGGUUGAUUCAGUAGAUCUGGCUGGCUAGGCAGGUGUCCCCUUCCUCCCUCACCACUCUAUGUGCAUCCCUCCCAAAGCUGUGCACUCCGUCGAAGAGGACAAAGAGGACGACCUUCCCGAAUAGAGAUGGACCGGUCUUCGGUCAAGGGUAUAUGAGUAGCUGCGCUCCCUUGCUAGAACCUCCAAACAAGCUCUCAAGGAAUAGGGAUAAGGAAAGGAUCCUGAAAGCUGCAAGAGAAAAAAAAAAAGAGUCACUC
ensembl:misc_RNA 7SK 7SK RNA